rnacentral:rRNA from 1 species
AGUGAACGCUGGCGGUAGGCCUAACACAUGCAAGUCGAACGGCAGCACAGAGGAGCUUGCUCCUUGGGUGGCGAGUGGCGGACGGGGGAGGAAUACAUCAGAAUCUACUCUGUCGUGGGGAUAACGUAGGGAAACUUACGCUAAUACCGCAUACGACCUACGGGUGAAAGCAGGGGACCUUCGGGCCUUGCGCGAUUGAAUGAGCCGCUGUCGGAUUAGCUAGUUGGCGGGGUAAAGGCCCACCAAGGCGACGAUCCGUAGCUGGUCUGAGAGGAUGAUCAGCCACACUGGAACUGAGACACGGUCCAGACUCCUACGGGAGGCAGCAGUGGGGAAUAUUGGACAAUGGGCGCAAGCCUGAUCCAGCCAUACCGCGUGGGUGAAGAAGGCCUUCGGGUUGUAAAGCCCUUUUGUUGGGAAAGAAAUCCAGCUGGCUAAUACCCGGUUGGGAUGACGGUACCCAAAGAAUAAGCACCGGCUAACUUCGUGCCAGCCGCCGCCGUAA